AGCAAACAGGAUUAGAUACCCUGGUAGUCCACGCCGUAAACGAUGUCUACUUGGAGGUUGUGGCCUUGAGCCGUGGCUUUCGGAGCUAACGCGUUAAGUAGACCGCCUGGGGAGUACGGUCGCAAGAUUAAAACUCAAAUGAAUUGACGGGGGCCCGCACAAGCGGUGGAGCAUGUGGUUUAAUUCGAUGCAACGCGAAGAACCUUACCUACUCUUGACAUCCAGAGAACUUUCCAGAGAUGGAUUGGUGCCUUCGGGAACUCUGAGACAGGUGCUGCAUGGCUGUCGUCAGCUCGUGUUGUGAAAUGUUGGGUUAAGUCCCGCAACGAGCGCAACCCUUAUCCUUGUUUGCCAGCGAGUAAUGUCGGGAACUCCAGGGAGACUGCCGGUGAUAAACCGGAGGAAGGUGGGGACGACGUCAAGUCAUCAUGGCCCUUACGAGUAGGGCUACACACGUGCUACAAUGGCGCAUACAGAGGGCGGCCAACUUGCGAAAGUGAGCGAAUCCCAAAAAGUGCGUCGUAGUCCGGAUUGGAGUCUGCAACUCGACUCCAUGAAGUCGGAAUCGCUAGUAAUCGUGGAUCAGAAUGCCACGGUGAAUAYGUUCCCGGGCCUUGUACACACCGCCCGUCACACCAUGGGAGUGGGCUGCAAAAGAAGUAGGUAG
rnacentral:rRNA from 1 species